CCUACGGGUGGCAGCAGUGGGGAAUAUUGGGCAAUGGGCGCAAGCCUGACCCAGCAACGCCGCGUGAAGGAAGAAGGCUCUCGGGUUGUAAACUUCCUUUCUGAGGGACGAAGAAAGUGACGGUACCUCAGGAAUAAGCCACGGCUAACUACGUGCCAGCAGCCGCGGUAAUACGGAGGUGGCAAGCGUUAUCCGGAUUUAUUGGGUUUAAAGGGCGUGUAGGCGGGAAAGCAAGUCAGAUGUGAAAACUCAGGGCUCAACCCUGAGCCUGCAUUUGAAACUGUUUUUCUUGAGUGCUGGUGAGGCAAUCGGAAUUCCGGGUGUAGCGGUGAAAUGCGUAGAUAUACGGAGGAACACCAGUGGCGAAGGCGGAUUGCUAGACAAUAACUGACGCUGAGGCGCGAAAGCGUGGGGAGCAAACAGGAUUAGAUACCCUAGUAGUC
rnacentral:rRNA from 1 species